rnacentral:misc_RNA from 1 species
AGAAAUUGGUCGGUCCUGGAUUUCAAGAGAAAGCAUAGGAAGGACUUAACGAGUAAUCCUAAAUCUUUAAGAAGAUUGAGGACAGCUUGUGAGAGGGCGAAGAGAACUCUUUCUUCAGCCGAACAGGCAACUGUUGAAAUUGAUUCACUAUACGAGGGAAUUGACUUCAAAUCCAGCAUCACGCGUGCCAAAUUUGAGGAGCUGAACAUGGAACUCUUCAAGAAGUGUGUGGAUCCAAUUGAGAUAUGUUUGAGGGAUGCUAGAGUGGACAAGGACAGUGUCCAUGAAAUUGU